rnacentral:lncRNA from 1 species
ACUAACUUGGUACUAACUUGGAGACUUUCUAUAUUAUUCUUCUCUUAAAAAAAUGAAGGUAUAGUAUACCUUCCAAAUAGUUAAGCAUCAUCCAAAUUUGUCUUUCUACUUUUCUCACUAUUUAACCAUGAUGCUAUACAAUGUCUAUAGAUAAUUUAUUGAGUUCAUGAAUUAAGGUGAAGAUGAGGCUUUAACUCGGACUCUUAUGCCAACACCAAGAGGCUUUACAAAUUCAAACGGUUGAUUUCCUCAAAAUAUAUCAUAGUUAACUUUGAAAACCGGGUUAACUACUUUUUUGCUUCUAUAAAACCAUCAAUGCAUUCAAUACAAUAAAUUCCAGUGAAGGAUAGUGAUCUUUGCUUAUUUAUAUAGAAUCUUUCUUUGAGUAUAAUUGUUCUUUCUCUUUUCAAAUUGCAACAUUGGCCUUUAAAUGCCUUAGAUUUUGCAUAUUUUUCAAUCUUUCAGACAAAAAAAUGAUUUAAUGUUUCCCCGCCUACAUUAUUAUAAAAAAAAAUUCCUCCACUACAACGCACAAUUUUGGAUUUUCCAAUGUUCAAUUGUUUGCAUUCAAGUAUACCAAUUGUUUGCCUCAAUUAUUUUCCAAUGUUCAUUAACCUUGGGCUUUCUCUUAAAAAUCCACUCAAGCAUACCAACUGUAGACAAUGGAGGCAAAGAUAAGUGAAAGAAAACUCAAAAGUUUUCACUUCAUUAUUAUAGUUAUAUCUCCUUACAUUGUUAAAUAUAUAAACAUAGUGACUUAGUGGACUUUUCUAACCAAUCCUAGUCUUUGUAAGUAAAACUAUAACAAUUUUUUCAAAAAGUUAAAGAUGACUCUCUAGCUUCUUCUCCUUGUUCAGGAAAGACUCCAUAUAGCUGCUAUAUAUAAUAAGACCAAGAAUACAAGUCCGCAUUUGGCAAAAUAUUGGACUUACCAUUUGAGUUUUUCUGACUCCAUUGCCUUGCCAUGCAAAUUCUCAUUAUUAUAUAUGGUUUUAAGAAAUUGGAAUGAUGUCUGUGUUAAUGUUUUAUUUCAUUCCAAAAGUAUAACAUAUGGCAUAAAAGACCUAGAAAGUAUUUAUUAUGAUGUUAGGGGGAAAAGGGAUGGAGAAAAGAAACACUCUGUACAUCUGAGACAAAAAUUGUUGAGUGUUUGCAUUUAAACAUUGAAUAGAAAAUGUUGAUUCCUGACUAACCAUUUCAAAUAAUCUGAGAAGAAAUUGUCAAACUAAUCCGAGCUUAGUUGAGAGUUUUACAAAUGAGUGAAGUUCGGACCUGGGUUCAUCAGGAACUAUUCCUCCAAUUGUUUUUCCUCCUCUUUCAACACCUUCAAUUUUCCAUUUCUCCCAAUGUCCUUCCUCAUUUGUUCCAAUUAAGUACAUGCUUACCCAAAUAAUUAGUUGCUAGUUUUGUUUGAGAAUCUUCAUACCUCAUAAAUUUACGAGCACAUCUAAUUUUGAGUAGCUAUGUACUCCUUUGGGGUCGCUAACCCACCAAGAACAAAUUUUUUCUUGUUAAUUGUCACUACGUUGAUCCUCCACUAAAGAUAAAACAAUAGAAAAAGUUGAGAAAAGGGGCAGCUAUAACAUCAUAAUACAAAAUUAAUACAGGUGCAGCAUCAACCUUUAUAAAACUAGAAUGAUGGAAACAAGACAAAAAGGGUGAAAAGAACAAACAAGAUGCAAGUAUAAUGAUUCCAAUUCCAACUAAAAUUGUCACAUCCCGAGUCCGGAGUGUGGCAGAUGCCGCACGCCCGCACGACGGGCCGCACAGGCGUGCAAAGCAGCAGAACAUAUCGGAGCACUCACAAAUGUUCAAAACUUAUUUAAGGGUUAAUCACAGAUGCUUAAAAUUGACAUAAAUAAUUAAGUCGUUCAAAAGCAGUCUGACAAAAUUUCAAAAUAGCAUAUGCCAACAUAAUUCAAGUGUCCAAACUAAUCUAACUAAAAUGCCAAUAACUGAAGAAAUCAUCGAAAAAUCUAACGCACUCCCCAAUCCCGUGCGAUUAAGCCUCUGAAUCUGAAAAAAUAGAAAAAAAUAAAAUAAUGAGCUACACUAGCCCAGUAAGCAAUAAAAUACCCCAAAGUGGGGUCAGAGCAUAUCAAAUCAAAAUACAGGACAAUGACUGGAAUAAAUCAUAAAUAACAUCGUUUUACUGUUUUCAACACUUAUUAUCAUUUUUUCAAAAAUCUGAUACCAGAAUCUCAACAUGAUAGGCUACGGCCACGUAACCUAGCGGCCACUAUUGUUAGUCACCGGUGGCAACGGUGUCCAGAAAUCACUAUUCUAAUCACCGGUGGCGCGGUGUCGAAACCGGUUCCUCCCAGAUUACAAGUCAACAGGUCCAACGUAUAAUCCCCAUUGGCAGGGCCAGAACAGAACAGGUCAUAGCCAUGCUGAGAUUUCAUAUAUACAAAAAUAGAUUUCAUAAACUGUCUAGUCAUAUUUUACGGAUUUUAGAGCAUAUAACAUGAUUUUCAAAUAAAAUUUAACAUGCCAGACCCAUUUUACUAAAUACAAAACAUAUUUUGAAAUUUAAUCCAUUUAUCAAAUAAUUUGGAAAUCACACUUGAGGUAUUAAGUUACUUACCUCUUCUCGCUUAACUCCUACUUCAGGUAGGUGGAUCAGGUUCACCUGUUUAAAUUUAAUUAAUUUAUUUGUUAAUUUCAG